UACAGAGGGGGCAAGCGUUGUUCGGAAUUACUGGGCGUAAAGGGUGCGUAGGUGGCCGGGUAAGUCUGACGUGAAAUCUCCGAGCCUAACUCGGAAACUGCAUCGGAUACUAUCCGGCUUGAGGGUUGGAGGGGGGACUGGAAUACUUGGUGUAGCAGUGAAAUGCGUAGAUAUCAAGUGGAACACCAGUGGCGAAGGCGAGUCCCUGGACAACUCCUGACACUGAGGCACGAAAGCUAGGGGAGCAAACAGG
rnacentral:rRNA from 1 species